rnacentral:rRNA from 1 species
AUUGAACGCUGGCGGCAGGCCUAACACAUGCAAGUCGAACGGUAACAGGAAACAGCUUGCUGUUUCGCUGACGAGUGGCGGACGGGUGAGUAAUGUCUGGGAAACUGCCUGAUGGAGGGGGAUAACUACUGGAAACGGUAGCUAAUACCGCAUAACGUCGCAAGACCAAAGAGGGGGACCCUCGGGCCUCUUGCCACCAGAUGUGCCCAGAUGGGAUUAGCUUGUUGGUGGGGUAACGGCUCACCAAGGCGACGAUCCCUAGCUGGUCUGAGAGGAUGACCAGCCACACUGGAACUGAGACACGGUCCAGACUCCUACGGGAGGCAGCAGUGGGGAAUAUUGCACAAUGGGCGCAAGCCUGAUGCAGCCAUGCCGCGUGUAUGAAGAAGGCCUUCGGGUUGUAAAGUACUUUCAGCGGGGAGGAAGGGAGUAAAGUUAAUACCUUUGCUCAUUGACGUUACCCGCAGAAGAAGCACCGGCUAACUCCGUGCCAGCAGCCGCGGUAAUACGGAGGGUGCAAGCGUUAAUCGGAAUUACUGGGCGUAAAGCGCACGCAGGCGGUUUGUUAAGUCAGAUGUGAAAUCCCCGGGCUCAACCUGGGAACUGCAUCUGAUACUGGCAAGCUUGAGUCUCGUAGAGGGGGGUAGAAUUCCAGGUGUAGCGGUGAAAUGCGUAGAGAUCUGGAGGAAUACCGGUGGCGAAGGCGGCCCCCUGGGCGAAGACUGACGCUCAGGUGCGAAAGCGUGGGGAGCAAACAGG